rnacentral:rRNA from 1 species
GUGGGGAAUCUUGCGCAAUGGGCGAAAGCCUGACGCAGCCAUGCCGCGUGAAUGAUGAAGGUCUUAGGAUUGUAAAAUUCUUUCACCGGGGACGAUAAUGACGGUACCCGGAGAAGAAGCUCCGGCUAACUUCGUGCCAGCAGCCGCGGUAAUACGAAGGGGGCUAGCGUUGCUCGGAAUUACUGGGCGUAAAGGGCGCGUAGGCGGACUGAAAAGUUGGGGGUGAAAUCCCGGGGCUCAACCUCGGAACUGCAUUUGAAACUGGAAGUCUUGAGAUCAGGAGAGGUUAGCGGAAUACCGAGUGUAGAGGUGAAAUUCGUAGAUAUUCGGUGGAACACCAGUGGCGAAGGCGGCUAACUGGACUGAUACUGACGCUGAGGUGCGAAAGUGUGGGGAGCAAACAGGAUUAGAAACCCGGGUAGUCC